rnacentral:rRNA from 1 species
UCCAGACUCCUACGGGAGGCAGCAGUGAGGGAUAUUGGUCAAUGGGGGAAACCCUGAACCAGCAACGCCGCGUGGGGGAAGACGGUUUUCGGAUUGUAAACCUCUGUCCUCUGUGAAGAUAAUGACGGUAGCAGAGGAGGAAGCUCCGGCUAACUACGUGCCAGCAGCCGCGGCAAUACGUAGGGAGCGAGCGUUGUCCGGAUUUACUGGGCGUAAAGGGAGCGUAGGCGGCCUGCCAAGUCUGAUGUGAAAUACCGGGGCUCAACCCCGGGGCUGCAUUGGAAACUGGCAGGCUGGAGUGCCGGAGAGGCAGGCGGAAUUCCUAGUGUAGCGGUGAAAUGCGUAGAUAUUAGGAGGAACACCAGUGGCGAAGGCGGCCUGCUGGACGGUGACUGACGCUGAGGCUCGAAAGCGUGGGGAGCAAACAGGAUUAGAUACCCGGGUAA